UUAGCCUUUUCAGCCGUGGUUCACCGGACCGAGAGUGCUACGGCGUCAAUCCUUUCUAUCCUCGUCGUGCCCAGCUUCUCUUCCCUCUUUUCCCCUCACUGAUGAACCCUAGCCGCCGUCUCCAUGCCGGAUCCCGCACCCGAGCCUGCCCUCGCCGGCGCCGGCGCUGCUGUGUGCAGCCCCUCGCCUCAACAUUCAGUUCACAGAUUUUCAGUUCAGUGAUAUUCAACUGAAACUGGAUGGUAAGUUUUCAGUGACCAUGUUGAGGCGAACAACAGUUCAUGUCACUGAAAAUAGAAUGACCAUGCAUUUUUCAUAGAAUGGCCAUAUUCAGUUCACAGAAAUAAAUGGACCGCAGUUCACAGAUUAGAAUUCAGUUCACAGAUUACAACCGGAAUUCAGUUCACACAGAUUAAAUGGACUGCAGUUCACACAGCAGUUCAUAGAUUAGAAUUCAGCGGCUAGGGUUGCCAUGCUGCCUGUGCCGUACACCAUCACACAGCUAGAGCUAGUUCAAUUCCCUUUCCCUUCCCGUUGUCACCCCUCUGUUCAGUCCACACCACACCCUCCUCAACCGCACCGUCGUCGUCUAGCCGACUAGCGGCGGGAGCUAUAGCUUCGACGAGCCGACGACAAACACCAACAGGAGGGGAAAGGAGGGAAGAGAAGCUAGGGCCUAGGGAGGGAGGAGAGCUGCUGGGAGACGACGACGAGAAGACUGGCGCCGUAACGCUAGCCGUCCGUGACCUGCGCCUGAUAGACCUUACUGAAAGAUCGCAAGGCUAACAACGACGACUGCUGAUGGUAUUUUUCUAUUAUGGCAAAGAGAAGACUUGUAUCCUUUCUAUUUUGAUAAACAUGUGUACACCGAAUUGAAGCUCAGUUCUGUAGGAGGUGACUCAUUUCCGUUGAACA